rnacentral:rRNA from 1 species
CAUGCAGUCGAGCGGAUGACGGGAGCUUGCUCCUUGAUUCAGCGGCGGACGGGUGAGUAAUGCCUAGGAAUCUGCCUGGUAGUGGGGGACAACGUUUCGAAAGGAACGCUAAUACCGCAUACGUCCUACGGGAGAAAGCAGGGGACCUUCGGGCCUUGCGCUAUCAGAUGAGCCUAGGUCGGAUUAGCUAGUUGGUGAGGUAAUGGCUCACCAAGGCGACGAUCCGUAACUGGUCUGAGAGGAUGAUCAGUCACACUGGAACUGAGACACGGUCCAGACUCCUACGGGAGGCAGCAGUGGGGAAUAUUGGACAAUGGGCGAAAGCCUGAUCCAGCCAUGCCGCGUGUGUGAAGAAGGUCUUCGGAUUGUAAAGCACUUUAAGUUGGGAGGAAGGGCAGUAAGCUAAUACCUUGCUGUUUUGACGUUACCGACAGAAUAAGCACCGGCUAACUCUGUGCCAGCAGCCGCGGUAAUACAGAGGGUGCAAGCGUUAAUCGGAAUUACUGGGCGUAAAGCGCGCGUAGGUGGUUCGUUAAGUUGGAUGUGAAAGCCCCGGGCUCAACCUGGGAACUGCAUCCAAAACUGGCGAGCUAGAGUACGGUAGAGGGUGGUGGAAUUUCCUGUGUAGCGGUGAAAUGCGUAGAUUUAGGAAGGAACACCAGAUGGCGAAGGCAACCACCUGGACUGAUACUGACACUGAAGUGCGAAAGCGUGGGGAGCAAACAGGAUUAGAUACCCCGGGUAGUCCACGCCGUAAACAAUUUCAACUAGCCCUUGGAAUCCUUGAAAUUUUAGUGGCGCACCUAACGCAUUAAUUUAACCCCCGGGGGAAGUCCGCCCCCAGGUUAAAACCCCAGUGAAUUGACGGGGGCCCCCCCAAACCUUUGGAGCCAGGUGGUUUAAAUUCAAACGCACCCCGAAAAAACCUUACCAGGCCUUAGAAAUGGAAAAGACUUUUCCAAAAAUAGAAUAGGGGCUUCGGGAAAUUUAAAACGAUGUGCUCGGAAGGUUUUGUCUACCUCUUUGC